UACAGAGGGGGCAAGCGUUGUUCGGAAUUACUGGGCGUAAAGGGCGCGUAGGCGGCCUGCUAAGUCGAACGUGAAAUCCCUGGGCUCAACCCAGGAACUGCGUCCGAUACUGGUUGGCUUGAAUCCGGGAGAGGGAUGUGGAAUUCCAGGUGUAGCGGUGAAAUGCGUAGAUAUCUGGAGGAACACCGGUGGCGAAGGUGACAUCCUGGACCGGUAUUGACGCUGAGGCGCGAAAGCUAGGGGAGCAAACAGG
rnacentral:rRNA from 1 species